rnacentral:rRNA from 1 species
GGCGCAAGCCUGAUCCAGCAAUGCCGCGUGCAGGAAGAAGGCCUUCGGGUUGUAAACUGCUUUUGUACGGAACGAAACGGUCCGGGUUAAUACCCUGGGCUAAUGACGGUACCGUAAGAAUAAGCACCGGCUAACUACGUGCCAGCAGCCGCGGUAAUACGUAGGGUGCAAGCGUUAAUCGGAAUUACUGGGCGUAAAGCGUGCGCAGGCGGUUUUGUAAGACAGGCGUGAAAUCCCCGGGCUCAACCUGGGAAUUGCGCUUGUGACUGCAAGGCUGGAGUGCGGCAGAGGGGGAUGGAAUUCCGCGUGUAGCAGUGAAAUGCGUAGAUAUGCGGAGGAACACCGAUGGCGAAGGCAAUCCCCUGGGCCUGCACUGACGCUCAUGCACGAAAGCGUGGGGAGCAAACAGGAUUAGAUACCCUGGUAGUCCACGCCCUAAACGAUGUCAACUGGUUGUUGGGAAUUUACUUUCUCAGUAACGAAGCUAACGCGUGAAGUUGACCGCCUGGGGAGUACGGCCGCAAGGUUGAAACUCAAAGA